UACGGGGGGGGCAAGCGUUGUUCGGAAUUACUGGGCGUAAAGGGCUCGUAGGUGGCCAACUAAGUCAGACGUGAAAUCCCCAGGCUCAACUUGGGAACUGCGUCUGAUACUGGAUGGCUUGAAUUCGGGAGAGGGAUGCAGAAUUCCAGGUGUAGCGGUGAAAUGCGUUGAUAUCCGAAGGAACGCCGGUGGCGAAAGCGACGGACUGGACCUCUUCUGACGCUGAGGCGCGAAAGCCAGGGGAGCAAACAGG
rnacentral:rRNA from 1 species